CCCGCAGCACCGUAAGCGCGGCCUUCGGGCUGCUGCUGCCCGCACGGCUUCCCGUCUACCGAGAGCUCUCGAGGAGAAAGCACGAAGUGGCCAAGGAAGGAGGCGAUUCGGUCUGCUGAAAAAUGGCUUCGUAUCCACCCCUGACCCAAAAGGCAGCAAAAACCCCCAAUGAGCAUACCCCUUUUUGCACUGCGGAGCUGGUAUUUUCAUCUGAGAGACACGAGGAAAAAGCAUUGUUUUGUUAGCAAUCAGUGAGCAAUCUUUGCAUCCCUGAAAUCAGACCGGGGCAAUGUUCUGCACGGCUGUCUCCUGCGGUCUGGCUCCUGACAUGCUGAGUUCUGGAAAACUUUCUCACUAUGAGACUCCACCAGGGAAUGAUCUGUCUCACAGACUGGAAGCCUCACAGGUUUCCCUGGUUUCCUGAAGAAGCAGCAUUUGCAGCAGUUCUGCUUCAGCUCUUCAGGACACGGGCUAUCUUUGAGGACAAUCUUCUGACACCUGAUUCUUGGAAUAAAGGACUAUCUGACUGCAACACCAUUGAUUAGCGAUGGACUAAGCGGCAGCGAGAAGUUACUGCAGACUGCUCUUUGCACAUAAAACUGCCUUUCAGAAAUCUGAGGUGUCUCCCUGCAGGAGACAUCCAAGCUCGCCCAGCAGUGUGAACAAAUUGCCUGGAAAUGUCGUCAUCAGGCUUCAACUGGCACUAUCUCCCUUUCUGUCUGGGUCAUUGAUUUCCUCAUCUCCUUUGCCUUAAAACUCACAUCAUACAUCAAUUUCUGAAUCUCCAGCACUGAAGCAGCUGCACUGUGCCUUUCCUGCUCAACACCAGCAGCUUUCAGCCUCUGAAGUGUCCUUUACUGAUGCUCAUCUGAAGACCUCCUGAGUGUGCCUCAAGUGGCCUCCCUGCCUGCUACAUAACAGCCUGUGCUCUGCCAGCUUUUGUUUCAUCACAAGAGGGCUUAGAGCUGUUCUGCUCUCGGAAAUUGGGUAAAAUUUGGUCUCCUUCCUACAAUGACUCAGUGUGCUGGAGAAAUGACUCCUGCCUUGUGCGAGCAGCUAUGGCAGGGCACCGAGCUGUGCCAGCCUCUGCUAGCCACCAGCUACCCUCAGGAGAGCCCCUCAGCCAGCAAGGAGCUGGGGCUGCUCUGCACACGGGUCUUAUGAUUGCUAAAUGUAGAGUCCAUUGAUAAAUAAAGCAAAUGCACAAAGUGUGCAAGAACCAGCAGUUGUUACAGUGUCAUCUUAGCUAACACAGCCUUUUCCUCUGUUCUUUUGCUUUCCUCUUUGUGGCCCUUCAUCAGAGACUUGUGCAAUUUGACUACGUAUCUUUGCGCACCCGAUUAAUAAUAUCAGUUCUCAUCGAAAGAGUUUCCAGGAUUAGGCCUGCAAUGUGCCAUUCAACCCUGAGAAAUGAUUCUGCAAGAGAAAAAAAUCUUGUCUUGCUACUUGCUGGGGCUGUGGUUGCUCUGUGCUUGCACUGAUGUGAGCUUACUCCUAGUCCUGGGCUGCUGCCAUCAUUUAAUGGCCAGGUACCUCCCUGCUCCUGUGUCAGACUUGUUUGCUGAGCUGCAAAGUGUUGCCUACUGUAGGUUUGCACAGCUACUCCUGAGGAUCCAGUCUGGCCUGCAGAAACAUACUUGAGUUUUGUUAGGAGUAAUAACGUUUUGCCUCUCCUCAACGUUCGCAAACUGAGUGCAUCCGAUGUGGAAAUAAGUGCAAGAAAUAAGCUCUCAAAUGUGCACCCCUUACUCCUAAAUUAAUGGUGAUCUUACUGUGAAUAACUUCACUCACAAGAAGCGUCAGAUAAAUUGAGUUUACUUAAGGAAGAGUGUUCUUUUAGAACACAGCUCUGCUGAUCUUUGUCUUUCUAGAAAGCAAAUUGUCGGUCUCUUUGUU